GAUGAACGCUGGCGGCGUGCCUAAUACAUGCAAGUCGAGCGAACAGACGAGGAGCUUGCUCCUCUGACGUUAGCGGCGGACGGGUGAGUAACACGUGGAUAACCUACCUAUAAGACUGGGAUAACUUCGGGAAACCGGAGCUAAUACCGGAUAAUAUAUUGAACCGCAUGGUUCAAUAGUGAAAGACGGUUUUGCUGUCACUUAUAGAUGGAUCCGCGCCGCAUUAGCUAGUUGGUAAGGUAACGGCUUACCAAGGCGACGAUGCGUAGCCGACCUGAGAGGGUGAUCGGCCACACUGGAACUGAGACACGGUCCAGACUCCUACGGGAGGCAGCAGUAGGGAAUCUUCCGCAAUGGGCGAAAGCGUGACGGAGCAACGCCGCGUGAGUGAUGAAGGUCUUCGGAUCGUAAAACUCCGUUAUUAGGGAAGAACAAAUGUGUAAGUAACUAUGCACGUCUUGACGGUACCUAAUCAGAAAGCCACGGCUAACUACGUG
rnacentral:rRNA from 1 species